AUGAAUUUGGGAAGGCAAACUUCAGAUUAGGCCGUUCUGUAAUAUGAACGCACAAAAGCUGGUGGCUCUUUAAAAGUGUUUCCGGUCCCUGCGUUAUGAAAAUUCAAGGUUCUGCAGAAUCGUCAUUGUAUUUGGCAGCAGCACCAGUGGAAAUCGUACACUGUGCAAACGCAGCGGAUUCUACGUCGCUCCCUCGUCGCUUAGCGAAGCGUACUUCAGCCAUUUUAAAAUGGGUGUCAGAAGAUUAGGUAGUUCGUUGUUUUUGAUGCAUAAUAAUCGUGCAGUUUGUUGUGUUUGCCAUCUGUGACGAGCACUGAAAGUGCGUAGGUAAGUCUUCCAUUGAAAAGGUCUUUCAAAAAAUGGUUGGUAUAAUAUAUUCUCCAUUUGCAAUAUUCUGUUCUGUUCAUUUUAGAGUAUUUGCUGAUGUUCCACUUCGGCCCCAUUAUGUAGUGUGUGUGAAAAUAAAUUCCUGCAAUGUGUAGAUAGAUGUUGCAUAUGAAUAUCCCUCAGUUUACAAAUUUUUGCUGUAAUGAAUAAUGCUUUCUUACUGAUUCUUUAUGAUUAUUAUACAUACAGUAAUAAAUGUCUUAAUAAAAACAUUUGUUAACAUAA